rnacentral:tRNA from 1 species
GGGCGGUUAGCUCAGCGGUAGAGCACUACCUUCACACGGUAGGGGUCGCAGGUUCGAUCCCUGCACCGCCCACCA